rnacentral:rRNA from 1 species
UGAUCCUGGCUCAGAAUCAACGCUGGCGGCGUGCCUCAGACAUGCAAGUCGAACGAUUUAAGCUCCCUUCGGGGAGUGCAUAAAGUGGCGCACGGGUGAGUAACACGUAAGUAAUCUACCCUCGGGUGGGGAAUAACGUUCGGAAACGAACGCUAAUACCGCAUAAUGCAGCGGCACCGCAAGGUGACAGUUGUUAAAGAUUUAUUGCCUGGGGAGGAGCUUGCGGCAGAUUAGCUUGUUGGUAAGGUAACGGCUUACCAAGGCUACGAUCUGUAUCCGGUCUAAGAGGACGGUCGGACACACUGACACCGAAUAACGGGUCAGACUCCUACGGGAGGCAGCAGUCGGGAAUUUUGGGCAAUGGGGGAAACCCUGACCCAGCAACGCCGCGUGAAGGAUGAAGUAUUUCGGUAUGUAAACUUCGAAGGAAUAGGAAGAAUUAAUGACGGUACUAUUUAUAAGGUCCGGCUAACUACGUGCCAGCAGCCGCGGUAAUACGUAGGGACCAAGCGUUGUUCGGAUUUACUGGGCGUAAAGGGCGCGUAGGCGGCGCGGUAAGUCACUUGUGAAAUCUCUGAGCUUAACUCAGAACGGCCAAGUGAUA